UCCCAAAAAGAGAAGAGUGAGAGAGAGAAUGGGUUUGAAGUGGUAGAGAGUGAUGAUAAUAAUGAUAAUUUUGCUAGCGUAAGUGGGAAACUCAAACCCCAUUUUCUCUGAGUGUACCAUUAAACUACUAUAUAUCUACCACUCUCUUCCACACACUUCACACACCAAAACCAAAAAGGCUGCUCCAUUUCAAUUUCCAUUUUCAUUGUUAGGAUAAGAUCUUUGCCCUUUUGCUGCUCCUACACACAAAAACAAAUUGCACUCCUCAUUUCAUUUCAACUCAUCACUUUUUCACCUAUUUAUUCAGUUUCUCACACCCCAUCAUGCAUAUAGAUCUGUCACACCCAUCUCCCAAGCUUGCUACUUGUCAUCUCUACGUUUUGCAUGACUCUCUCUGACUCAAUGUACAGAAAGUCAGACAUCGAAAGAGAGAGAGAGAGAAGGAGUUUUGUGUCUCCCAACAUGGUUUUGGUUCCAGUUUAUUUUAUGGUGUUCAUACCCUUUUUCUUUCUUCUUUUAUCUUCUCUCAGAACCAUUUCAUCUUCUUCCUUAUCUCUUGAUUCGUCUUCUGGGGUUUGUUUUUCUUCUUUGUGCCCUUAUUUGUCGGACCGAGGUUGUUGGUGACAAACCCUAAAUUCUCAGAAUUGUGUUCCUCUGAGAACAUGCAUGUCAGAUCCUAGAUUUUCCACCUUUUUAGCUCCAGAUUUCGUGAAGUUUUCCUUUAAUAUGGAUGUCACAUUUUUCCUCCUCAGAUCUGACUCAGUUGUGUGGCUUUUGUUUUUCCCUUCAGAUUUUUCCAAACCUUUUGUCUGUGAAACUUUCCAUAUUUGGGAUGCUAUUGUAUGUGUACUUAGUUUCUUUUAAUUCCUUCUAUUUGGACAGAAAUUGACAGAAGAGAGUGAGCACAAAGAGGCACAUGAUAUAACUCUAUAUCACUGCUUUUGUGUGCUCACUACUCUUUCUGUCGGUUUUCGGUGCCAGAAAAUUCUCCGACUCUCCUUGCUCCAUCAACCAAAACCAAACCACAUCAUCUUCACUCUCUCUCUCUCUCUCACUCGCUGAAACAGUUCAAUUACAUGGUUGUUUAUCUGUUUCACUAUUAUUCAACAGUGAGUAAAAGUUAUAUUAUGGCUUUGGUGUUUUGCUAAUAUGUAUGUUUGUAUUUUGUUUUAUUUUAUCUGCUACUAUAAUCAGUUGAAACAGGCUCAUACGUGUUCUUUGAUUGUCUUUAUUAUGGUUUAUAGUAUAUUAGUCCUUGCAAAACGGAUAAGUGUGACUUUUGAUAGCAUUACCUUGCACAAGGUGCCCUGGUUAUUGUGCAGACCUUGAGGGGCACCGUUUUCUAUCUUUUUAUGUGUAUUUGUAUGCUAGCGAGUGGGAGGGACCAUACAUGCUACAUAGUAUGGUCCACACUUGUUGUUGUUUUCACUUUCUAGCAUCUAGCUAGCUAUUAUCGUUUUUCUGAUUCCAUAGCCUUUCAUAUUUUAAGUAUAUAGAGUAUGCGGGCCAUCAACUUGUUCAUUGCUGUAAUGUUCUCACCUGAAACAGUGUUUGGCUUAAUUGGUUAGAAUCUCCAAAACAGUACUAUUGUGUGGUCUGAUUCUUAGCAAACAACCCUAUACUUAGGUUCGUCAAUAUAGGGUUUAUCAUUACCCACCAAAACUUGUCAGAAUAAUAACCCAUUUAGUGAGCACUGGUCAAAUGAUUUUACUUUGCUUUUCUUUUUCUGGUUUUUUCUUUCUGAUAUGGAUUCUAAUACUGUGUUAAGGUUCUGGUUAGAUCUUGAUAAACUGAUAAACAUGCAUUUUAUAUGAACAGUUUGCAAUCUUAUUUUUCUUAUUGAGUUUGAUGCUUAGCUGAUAGAAGCAUAAACUGAAUCUUCUUAGUUGUCACUGUUAUAUGGACAUUACUAGCAUAUUACCUUUCUUAUAACAGUGAAAUAUCCACUUGUUGUGAUUGCUUUUUAUCAAUGGUAUUGAAAGAGUGCUGGUAUUUCUCUAUCGUGGCUGUGUUGGACAAGAAGCACAUAUCAAUUUCUUACUGAAAAGGUUUAACAAUCAAACUCUUUAUUCCAGUUGUACGUGCAAUGGUUAGACAAAUUCAGCUUGUUUGGUCCUACAUCUACAUAAAUAUAUAAAAGUAUAGCUAUAACAGCUUUGCAAAAUUAACAGCCUUAAAGAUAUGUUUGGAUAAACUGUCUAUAUAUACCUCUCCAACACACACACAAAAAAAAAACAGCUUCUUCAUAAUCUAUUUGUUAAAAUUAUAACAUGCAUAUAAUUUUAAUUUAGCCAUCUUUCACUUUUUUUCUCCUGUAUGUGAUUAUAGAGAAGUUAUCCAUUCACACCCUUAUUCUCUUCAGAUAAGUUUAGCUUCAUGAUAAUGUUGAAAUCCAUCACUGAUUGGUUUUUGGAUUUCAAGUUUUCAUAUUUUUUGUUUCCAAUUCUUAAAACAAAUAUCAAAGACCAAGUCCUUAUGAUGCUUUAUAGUAGAUUUUUCCUGAGACCAUCCCUGCAAUCCCUGAAAGUAUUUAUUUUACCAAAUUACAGACCGUAAUAGAUUUAGCACAUAUAUAUAUGUAAUUCACAAUGAAUAAUAUUUGGGGCUUUGUCAAGUUUUAUAUUAAGUAUCCGGAAUGAUAUUAAAAAAUAAUGAUAUUCAUUCAGUAAUAUGUAUCUUGUAUUUUUGGAUAUUCAUUUAGCAAUGUUACUGCAGUUUUGAGCAGUGCAUCAAAUUAUCUUAUGAUUUUAAGUUGGUUGAAUUCAUUGGAAAUCGAUCUUGUUGAUACUAAUAGGCUUGGAAGAAUUUUAGAUGCUGGCGAAUGAAUGACACAAUCUCCUGAUUCUGUUAAGAUGCCUAAAAACCACAUAAUCUGUUCUAAUCACUGGUGUGCUUACAGGAAUCUUCUUUGUAAAUGUUUAUAUGAAGGUGAAUAAUUUUCUCCAAUACUGCUACAGAGGUGUUGUGACUGCAUAAUGAGUAAAGUUUUGCAUAACUUAUAACUAUGUCUUCAAGAGCAGUUAUUCUUUGAGGUACUGACUCAAACGAAUGUUAGAAGGCCAUAUUAUAUCAAUGGAAAGAAAAUUAAAGGGUAUACUUGCUUUAUGCAAGACACUUUUUUUUUUAACUUUGAUAUAAAAUAACUUCCAAACUGUAGUUUGAUCUUUUAA